rnacentral:tRNA from 1 species
GUCCCCGUAGCUCAGCAGGAUAGAGCGUUCGCCUCCUAAGCGAAAGGCCGGGUGUUCGAAUCACCUUGGGGACGCCA